AAUGAACGCUGGCGGCAUGCCUAACACAUGCAAGUCGAACGAAAGCUUCGGGACUAGUGGCCUACGAUUUCGUCACGCGUGGGAACCUGCACUUAUGGUCGGACUAACUCCACGAAAGGGGUGCUAAUGCCGGAUAAGAGCUUCGGCCGAAAGAUUUAUUGCCUUGGGUUGGUCACGCGUUGGAUUAGCUGGUUGGUAGGGUUAAAGCCUACCAAGGGGAGGAUCCCUAACUUGUUUGUGAGGCUGAUCACCGACACUUGGACUGAGAGGCGGCCCAGAAUCUUACGGGAGGCAGCAGUGGGGAACAGUGGAACACGGGCGGAGUCCUGAUCGAGCAAGGCCCCUUGAGUGAUGAAGGCCUUAGGGAUGUAAAGCUCUUUUACCCGGGAUGAUAAUGACAGUACCGGGAGAAUAAGCUCCGGCUAACUCCGUG
rnacentral:rRNA from 1 species